rnacentral:lncRNA from 1 species
CCGAGAUCAAUAACAGAAUUUUGGAUCUGACUGGGCGUGUCCCGGGAUCAGUGAAUGUGGGGAGAAAGUGAGUAACAAUCGAACGUACAUGGCGCGCCACUUAAUGAGGAAAAGUUUUGUCAUGCUUAGAAGUGGAUUUCUGUUUUUAAACCUUCUGAGUUAUGAUUUUGAUAUUGGAUAAACUGUUUCGAUUAUUUCUUAAAAUAUUUCAAAAACUCGUGCCCACUGAGUACAUUAGUACUCAGCCCAAAUUAUUUUCAAAUAUUUUCAGGUUGAUCGGCUGGUGCAGACGGGGCUGAGCUGAGGCUGGGUACCACAAUGUCUUUUGCUUCCGCUAACGACUAGCUUGUCAUUUCGUCUGUUAAAUUCUCUAAACUUAGAAUUUCAAUUAUGUGGUACAAUAUUAUCUUAUUGGGCUUAAACUCUUAUCCUAUAUUUCUAUUAAUAAAGCUAUCUUUGAUUAUGAUCAGAGUCACGAAACUAAACUUAUGCGAUCCUGAGUUGGAAUAUUGUCAUUUGAUUGGCAACUCUUAAGGCCUUUCAAUUUACCUAAUUUCAUUUUAUCUCAUUGGAAUAUGAAUACCCAAUUUAACGGGUAGAUUGUCGAGUUUAUUCCGGUUGAUUAAGACUUUCCA